rnacentral:rRNA from 1 species
AUUGAACGCUGGCGGCAGGCCUAACACAUGCAAGUCGAACGAGUGGCGGACGGGUGAGUAAUGUCUGGGAAACUGCCCGAUGGAGGGGGAUAAAUACUGGAAACGGUAGCUAAUACCGCAUACCAUCGGAUGUGCCCAGAUGGGAUUAGCUAGUAGGUGGGGUAACGGCUCACCUAGGCGACGAUCCCUAGCUGGUCUGAGAGGAUGACAAGACACACUGGAACGGAGACACGUUCCAGACUACGACGGGAGGGAGCAGUGGGGAAGAUUGCAACAUGGGCGCAAGCCUGAUGGAGCCAUGCGGCGUGUAUGAAGAAGGCCUUCGGGUUGUAAAGUUCUUGCAGCGAGGAGGCGUUACUCGCAGAAGAAGCACCGGCUAACUCCGUGCCAACAGCCGCGGUAAUUC